rnacentral:rRNA from 1 species
UACGAAUUGUUCAAUCUUUCAUCGGAAUUACUGGGCGUAAAGCGCGCGUAGGUGGUUCGUUAAGUUGAAUGUGAAAGCCCCGGGCUCAACCUGGGAACUGCAUCCAAAACUGGCGAGCUAGAGUAUGGCAGAGGGUGGUGGAAUUUCCUGUGUAGCGGUGAAAUGCGUAGAUAUAGGAAGGAACACCAGUGGCGAAGGCGACCACCUGGGCUAAUACGGACACUGAGGUGAGAAAGCGUGGGGAGCACACAGGAGGAGAUAACCCGGUAGUCC